rnacentral:rRNA from 1 species
GAUGAACGCUAGCUACAGGCUUAACACAUGCAAGUCGAGGGGUAACAAGAGAAAAGCUUGCUUUUUUUGUUGACGACCGGCGCACGGGUGAGUAACGCGUAUCCAACCUGCCUAUAACUAGGGAAUAACCUUGCGAAAGUAAGACUAAUACCCUAUGAUUUCCUUUGAUGGCAUCAGGUUAGGAAUAAAGAUUUAUCGGUUAUUGAUGGGGAUGCGUCUGAUUAGCUUGGUGGCGGGGUAACGGCCCACCAAGGCAACGAGCAGUAGGGGUUCUGAGAGGAAGGUCCCCCACAGUGGAACUGAGACACGGUCCAAACUCCUACGGGAGGCAGCAGUGAGGAAUAUUGGUCAAUGGGCGGAAGCCUGAACCAGCCAAGUAGCGUGCAGGAUGACGGCCCUAUGGGUUGUAAACUGCUUUUAUACAGGAAUAAAGUUAGCCACGUGUGGUUAUUUGUAGGUACUGUAUGAAUAAGGACCGGCUAAUUCCGUGCCAGCAGCCGCCGUAA